ACUUUUCUGCUUCAUUUGAAGAUUAAGACCAGAUAAAGCAACAUCUCCAUCACCUUCAAUCACAUCUCUACAAAGUGACCAGUCACUGGAUCGACCGAUACUGUUCAAAGAUGGAUUGGUGAUAGAAAGGUUGAGACAAGGUCAGUCAACAUCUCCAGCACCUUCAGUUACGUCUCUACAAAGUGACCAGUCACUGGAUCGACCAAUAUUGUUCAAAAAUGGAGCAGAGCGUAAAAAGGGGAAUGAAAGGUCGAGACCAGAUAAAGGAACGUCUCCAGCGCCCUCUUGUACAUCUCUACAAAGUGACCAGUCACUGGAUCGACCAAUAUUGUUCAAAGAUGGAGCAGAGUGUAAAAAGGGGAAUAAAAGGUCGAGACCAGAUAAAGGAACGUCUCCAGCGCCCUCUUGUACAUCUCUACAAAGUGACCAGUCACUGGAUCGACCGAUACUGUUCAAAAAUGGAACUCAGAGCAAUGAAAGGUAUAUAAGGAAUAAGAGUUUGGGUCCUUAUUAUGCAUGUACUGGUUUACCCAGCAGAUU
rnacentral:lncRNA from 1 species